rnacentral:rRNA from 1 species
UUCCGGUUGAUCCUGCCGGACCCGACUGCUAUUUGGGUGAGAAUAAGCCAUGCGAGUUGAAUGGGAUACCUAAAGUUCCCAUAGCAAACUGCUCAGUAACACAUGAUCAACUUACCCUAUAGAGAAAAAUAACCUCGGGAAACUGAGGAUAAUGUUUCAUAAUUGAAUUGGCUUGGAAAAGUUUUUCAAUGAAAGGGAUAAAAAAAAUGGUUUUUAUCUGCUAUAGGAUAGGAUCGUGUUCGAUUAUGGUUGUUGGUGAGAUAAUGGCUCACCAAGCCGAUAAUCGAUAGGGGCCGUGAGAGCGGGAGCCCCGAGAUGGGUACUGAGACAACGACCCAGGCCUUACGAGGCGCAGCAGGCGCGGAACCUCCGCAAUACACGAAAGUGUGACGGGGUUACCCAAAGUGUUCAAUAGAACUGUGGUAGGUGAGUAAUGUCCCCUACUAGAAAGGAGAGGGCAAGGCUGGUGCCAGCCGCCGCGGUAAAACCAGCUCUUCAAGUGGUCGGGAUAAUUAUUGGGCUUAAAGUGUCCGUAGCCGGUUUAGUAAGUUCCUGGUAAAAUCGGGUAGCUUAACUAUCUGCAUGCUAGGAAUACUGCUAUACUAGAGGGCGGGAGAGGUCUGAGGUACUACAGGGGUAGGGGUGAAAUCUUAUAAUCCUUGUAGGACCACCAGUGGCGAAGGCGUCAGACUGGAACGCGCCUGACGGUGAGGGACGAAAGCCAGGGGAGCGAACCGGAUUAGAUACCCGGGUAGUCCUGGCCGUAAACGAUGCAUACUAGUGAUGGUACGGCCAUGAGCCGUAUCAGUGCCGUAGGGAAACCGUUAAGUGUGCCGCCUGGGAAGUACGGUCGCAAGGCUAAAACUUAAAGGAAUUGGCGGGGAGCACCACAAGGGUGAAGCCUGCGGUUCAAUUGGAGUCAACGCCGGAAAUCACUAGUGCGGCCGCCU